rnacentral:rRNA from 1 species
CCUACGGGAGGCAGCAGUCGAGAAGCUUCGGCAAUGGGCGAAAGCCUGACCGAGCGACGCCACGUGAGCGAAGAAGGCCCUAUGGGUUGUAAAGCUCUGUCAGAUUGGGAAGAAAGCUUCGGGGUUAAUACCCCCGGAGUGUGACGGUACCAUCAGAGGAAGCACCGGCUAACCCCGUGCCAGCAGCCGCGGUAAU